rnacentral:tRNA from 1 species
AAGCCCGGGCACCCUUAGGGGUGCUUCUCCGAAUUUGCAUUUCAGCGUUUAUACCUCCGGGC